rnacentral:rRNA from 1 species
GACGAACGCUGGCGGCGUGCCUAAUACAUGCAAGUAGAACGCACAGUUUAUACCGUAGCUUGCUACACCAUAGACUGUGAGUUGCGAACGGGUGAGUAACGCGUAGGUAACCUGCCUGGUAGCGGGGGAUAACUAUUGGAAACGAUAGCUAAUACCGCAUAAUAUUAAUUAUUGCAUGAUAAUUAAUUGAAAGGUGCAAUUGCACCACUACCAGAUGGACCUGCGUUGUAUUAGCUAGUAGGUGAGGUAACGGCUCACCUAGGCGACGAUACAUAGCCGACCUGAGAGGGGGAUCGGCCAACCUGGGAAUGAGACACGGCCCAGACCCCUACGGGAGGCAGCAGGAGGGAAUCGUCGGCAAUGGACGAAAGUCUGAACGAGCAACGCCGCGUGAGGGAAGAAGGAUUUCGGAUCGUAAAGCUCUGUUGUAAGAGAAGAACGGGUGUGAGAGUGGAAAGUUCACACUGUGACGGUAUCUUACCAGAAAGCGACGGCUAACUACGUG